rnacentral:rRNA from 1 species
GACGAACGCUGGCGGCGUGCUUAACACAUGCAAGUCGAACGGAAAGGCCCUGCUUUUUUGGUGUGCUCGAGUGGCGAACGGGUGAGUAACACGUGAGUAACCGGCCCUUGACUUUGGGAUAACGUCAGGAAACUGGGGCUAAUACCGGAUAGGAGCGCCUGCUGCAUGGGGGGGGUUGGAAAGUUUCGGCGGUUGGGGAUGUACUCGCGGCUUAUCAGCUUGUUGGUGGGGUAGUGGCUUACCAAGGCUUUGGCGGGUAGCCGGCCUGAGAGGGUGACCGGCACAAUUGGGACUGAGAUACGGACCAGACUACUAAGGGAGGCAGGAGUGGGGAAUAUUGCACAAUGGGCGGAAGCCUGAUGCAGCAACGCCGCGUGCGGGAUGACGGCCUUCGUGUUGUAAAGCGCUUUCGCCUGUGACGAAGCGUGAGUGACGGUAAUGGGUAAAGAAGCACCGGCUAACUACGUG